rnacentral:rRNA from 1 species
GAUGAACGCUGGCGGCGUGCCUAAUACAUGCAAGUCGAGCGAACGGACGAGAAGCUUGCUUUUCUGAUGUUAGCGGCGGACGGGUGAGUAACACGUGGAUAACCUACCUAUAAGACUGGGAUAACUUCGGGAAACCGGAGCUAAUACCGGAUAAUAUUUUGAACCGCAUGGUUCAAAAGUGAAAGACGGUCUUGCUGUCACUUAUAGAUGGAUCCGCGCUGCAUUAGCUAGUUGGUAAGGUAACGGCUUACCAAGGCAACGAUGCAUAGCCGACCUGAGAGGGUGCUCGCCGACACUGGAGCUGAGACACGGUCCAGCCUCCUCCGGGUGGCAGCAGUCGGCAAUCUGCCGCACUGGGCGAUAGCCUGACGGAGCAACGCCGCGUGAGUGAUGAAGGUCUUCGGAUCGUAAAACUCUGUUAUUAGGGAAGAACAUAUGUGUAAGUAACUGUGCACAUCUUGACGGUACCUAAUCAGAAAGCCACGGCUAACUACGUG